rnacentral:misc_RNA from 1 species
AUUGCUUUCACUUUACACCUUCUCUAUAUCUUUAAUGCAAAAACAAGAAAAGCUCAUAGGUUUUACAAGGCAAAUUUUCCUAAUAUCAUUUAGAAAAAAGAGUUCAUGAUGGCAUGUAACGAUACAAGAAAUAUGGAUGAGCAAAUUGGCAGGCUACUAGGCAAAUCGGUUUCACAAAAAUGGUGGCCUGGCAGCUCAAGGGCCAAGGCAUUUCGCUCAAAACGACUUUCUGGGUAUAUUAAUGAAUCAAGAAAUUACUAAACUGAACAGGGUAAAUCAAAAUUUUGAAUUAUGUUGUAUGCUCAAUGGUUGGUCGACAGGUUAGUGUGGGUUUCACAACCCAAUAGUUAUAACUUCACCAGUUAAUGCCAAUAAAUCCACGGCCCGCUUGGUUGAUGAGAGGGAAUCAGAUGUUUCUUUGCCAAGAGAGAAAGCUUCGUUUAUAGUUGAAUCCAACCAGGACAAACAUUCCCUUGUCGCAAUAGGGAAUCCUGACGAGACCCUGCAAUUCCUCAGUCCCGCUUUAAGGUUGAAGUUCCUCGUCCUUCCACUUCGUUCAAAAGCAUGGCAUCUUCAUUUGACUAACGUUAACAUAUAACUCUGCCCGUAUGUGCUGCUGCUACUAAGUCCCCUGCUGUUAAUUAAUGGCGACUGGUAAUCAUUUUCAUUAUAUCUCUCAGAAAAUUGCCAAACCAAAGUUGAUAUUAUGAUCCCAAUCCCACCAUUAUGUAUAUAAACACACGUACACAGGAUAUGUAAUGAUAUCUAUAGUUCAAUGGCCUGCGUGGAAAGGUGAUUAAGUUGGAAAAAUGCAACAAAUACCAAUGAACGGCAAAAUCUUCAUCAUAUUAGUAAUAUCAAAGCACUACCAGAGGAGAUUCUUUUUCUGCCCAUAAGCCUUCCACUUCUCUGAACGGUCCAUAUAUUUCUUUCUUUUCGGCUUUAGGGAAUAAGAACGUCAACCGAAACCUGCAAAAACCCAUUUGCGAAAUUCCUAUAUAUACCAACUCUUACCAAGGCUUCUUGCAACAAAUAUUGAAACUUGGAAGAAAAUUGAUGAUAUCAACCAUUACCAUCAUCUAAUUUCUACUUCUCUCUUUUUACCAUUUCUCCGUUGCUUUAAUUUUACAUCUUUCAUUUCAUCUAUUCUCAUUGCAUGGUAUUGACAUUAAAGAAAUAAGCAUUUUCUUCCCUUUUCAAGUUGCGUCUUCCUUUAUACCAAUAAGGUAAGGUUCCUAUAGGAAUAUUUCAUAUAUUUAUAUAUACAUGUAUUCUGUUGCUCGACUGUGCAAACUUUAUCCUCUUAUUUUCUUUCAUUAAUCAAUUAAUUAACCUUUUCCUCUGUUUUAAUCUCUGUUCUAUAUAUAGAGAGACUAAAAUUGUACUAAAGCCACCCUUUCCUUAUCUAUCAACGCCUGAUUAAACAGGUUCAUCACGAAACCUUCCAUGUCUAUCUGCCAACAAACACAUCAUCAAGUGCUCGAUAUUCCCGCCGGCAGGCUCAAAAUGGACAUUGUAAGUCCUAGGUGGCAGAAAGCAAAGGUGGUGAUUUUAAUGGGGGCAACUGGCACUGGCAAGUCCAGACUCUCUAUGGACCUGGCAACCCAAUUCCCAGCAGAAAUCAUCAACUCUGAUAAAAUGCAAGUUUUCAAGGGCCUUGAAAUAACGACCAACAAAAUCAGUGAAGAAGAAAGAUUCGGAAUACCUCACCACCUGUUAGGAGAAGUAAAUCCUAAUGCAGACUUCACAGCAAAAGAUUUUUGCAGUAUGGCUUCCCUUGCUAUUGAAUCGGUUUCGACUCGGGGCUUACUUCCAAUUGUCGUUGGAGGCUCCAAUUCAUACAUUGAGGCCCUGGUGGAUGAUGACGAUUAUAGAUUCCGAUCAAAAUAUGAAUGUUGCUUCCUAUGGGUAGAUGCGUCAAUGUCUGUCCUAAACGAUUUCCUGUGCAAGCGAGUUGAUGAAAUGGUUAGCAAAGGAAUGGUUGAUGAGGUAAGGAAAAUCUUCGAUCCCUACGCAGAUUACUCUAAAGGGAUCAGGAGAUCGAUCGGGGUCCCAGAGCUGGACAAGUACUUGAGAGAUGAAGCAUUUUCCAACGGAGAGAACUGUGACAGACUAAUUCUUGAAGCAAUACGUGAGGUUAAAAAUAACAACUGCAAGUUAGCUCGUCGCCAAUUGGAGAAAAUCCGCCGGCUGAAGAAUGUGAAGGGGUGGAACAUUCAUCGAAU